UGCAUCCUAUCAUAAAUGGAAGCCAUUGUGUGUAUAGCUUUGAGGUAAAGAUAAAUGAGCUGUUCAUUCUUUUUUCAUGGUUUCUGCAGACGAGAGUCGUCGAGCUUUUUGUUUUUGUUUUUCCUUUUUCUUCAACUUUUCUCUACAAAUGUUCAUUAUUUAUGUUAGCAUGUGCUGUCCUUGCUUUGUACAAAGUCCUGAUGAUUAAGAGGAUCACCUACAGGCCAGAUUUGUAAAGCAAUUUUAUUUUUGUAGGCCAAGAGCAACCCAACUCUCCAGAUUUGUUUGAACAACCGGAAACAUCAGUAGAUCUUUCAAAAUGUAAGGCGCAGUCCUGUGAUGACCCGUGCCCGGACCCCACAGGAGACUCCUAGACCUCAGACUGGAUCCCCUGCCUGUGCUUCCCAAGCUCAUUCCUCUGUAGGUCAGCGGCCCAAAACUCCAAGGAUUAAAGAGAGUGUUUGCAGUCGGUUUCCAAAUACCACAGAAGAACAAGUCGGAGCAGCUCUCGGUGAUCACCUAAAACAGACGCCAGCUCGAUGUGGUGGGGGGCUACAGGAAACACAAAACUUCCCCCUUCUGAAUUUUUUUCUAAAAUCCCCACAAAGUUCUUUAAAAACAAGUGUUUUUUUUAAAAAAAGAAACGUUUUAAAUUAAUUUUUUUAUUUUCCUUUUCGCAUUGCGAGACAAAUUUCAUAAAACCAGUUAAAAGGUUGUUAAAAGUAUUUAUAUUUAUAGGUUUUUUGGUUUUUUUUUACAU